UUGGAUUUCGGAAUCCUUCGCCAUCUUCGACAAUGGUGCAGUAAUGCCAUCUGACGAUCAAGCCAGCGAAUAGCUGAAAGGGUGUAAAAAUGAAGCUGGAGAUUGUCUUUCUAUCUUCGUUCGUUUCCAAUCUUCGAACGGAGAGUCGAGUCGAGUGUCGGGCCGACUGCCGCGACUGUGUGUAAUGUCGACAAGAAUGUUGACGUUUAAUUCAACUCGUCGGAAGCAACGAAUACGCAUCGUGCGAGUCUCGUGAAUAAUGUCAACGAAUUCCUUAUAACUUACUACACGCAGCCGUAAUAAUGUUACGUACCGUGGAGUUUACAUAAACCUGUAAUAUUCAUGAACGAACAAUCAUCGUACGCGCGAGGGCUUUGGCUCGAACUGUGACGCGCCAUAUUGGUUUUAAGAGAAUUGUUCAUAUUAGUGGGCUUUGGGUGAAUCUGUUUUACUGCAAAUGCACGUAGUAUAAUAAAGUUGAAACGAUGGAAGAGACUAAAAUCAUAUAUCACAUUGACGACGAGGAAACCCCCUACCUGGUGAAGCUUACCAUCUCACCGGAAAGGGUCACUCUUGCCGACUUCAAAAAUGUCUUGAAUCGGCCGAAUUAUAAGUAUUUCUUCAAAUCAAUGGACGAUGAUUUUGGUGUGGUGAAAGAAGAAAUUGUAGAUGAUGAUGCCCAUCUUCCCUGUUUUAAUGGACGAGUUGUUUCCUGGCUGGUGUCUGCCGAAGGCAGCAAUGUAUCGGAUGGUGCAUCACAGUGCACAGAUUCAGUGGCACAUAGUGAGGCAAAACAUGAUCGUGUUGAUCAUGUGACACCUGGUCACACAAAUCGUGGCCCACCCCCAUUGUCACAUGAUGAUACUCUAACUGAAACAGAAAGUAUUACAAGUAGUCGACAGGGGCAUCAUUUGCAUAAAAGUUCAAGACACCAUUCAGAUAAAUAUGAGAAAUACAAUAAAUACAAUGGACUUCGUAUAAAUGGUCAUUCGAAACACAGAUCGGGCCAUGGUUAUGAGACUGCUUCUAUUUUAAGUUCAGAUUUAGAGACAACAACAUUUUUAGAAUCAGAUGAUGAUGCUAGUAGCCGUAUAACAUCAACUACAGGCAGACAUACCAAUAUGAGUAGUACAGUUGACAGAGCAACUUUAGAGCGGCGUAGACCACAGAGGAGGAGGCGUCAUAGAUUGCCACCUAUGUCUAGAACAUCAUCCUUUAGUAGUAUCACAGACAGUACAAUGUCUUUGAACAUCAUAACAGUUUCAUUGAAUAUGGAUACUGUUAAUUUCCUUGGGAUUAGCAUUGUUGGGCAAAGUAACAAAGGUGGAGAUGGUGGAAUCUAUGUUGGUUCAAUAAUGAAAGGGGGAGCAGUUGCUUUAGAUGGCAGAAUAGAACCUGGUGACAUGAUUCUUCAAGUAAAUGACAUUAAUUUUGAAAAUAUGUCUAAUGACGAGGCAGUUAAAGUACUACGUGAAGUAGUUCAGAAACCAGGACCAAUCAAAUUAGUUGUUGCAAAGUGCUGGGAUCCAAAUCCAAAAGGUUAUUUCACAAUACCACGUACAGAACCUGUACGGCCUAUAGAUCCCGGUGCUUGGGUGGCACAUACAGCUGCUAUAAGGGGUGAAGGUUUUCCUCCACGCCCGCCAAGCGCCACGACAAUAACUUCAACAUCGAGCAGUCUUGCAAGCACACUGCCAGAUACAGAACGACCAUUGGAAGAACUUCAUCUUACGGUGAAUACCGAUAUGCCAACAGUAGUACGAGCGAUGGCUCGGCCUGACUCAGGGUUGGAAAUUCGUGAUCGUAUGUGGCUUAAAAUAGUAAUACCAAGUGCAUUUAUUGGAGCAGAUGUUGUGGAUUGGCUUAAUACUCACGUAGAAGGAUUUAUUGAUCGACGCGAUGCAAGAAAAUACGCAUCUCUUAUGCUAAAGGCUGGAUUUAUUAGGCAUACAGUGAACAAGAUAACAUUUUCUGAACAAUGUUAUUAUAUAUUCGGUGACCUGUGUUCAUCUAUGAGUAGCAUGAAACUAGAUUGCGAUACAGUCGGACCAUUACCUCCGCCGAAUGCCUGGGACAUGCCUUAUUCAGGGACAUAUGCACCUCAUUCUGCAACUGGUUACAGUCCAAUGCCAUUUAACUUCACUAACGAACCAACUGUAUAUGGUUAUCACCGAGAAGAAAGUGUUCAUAGCGGUUCAGGCGGCAGUAGCGCAGGUAGUGAACAUAUUUGCAAAGAACCUAUUCACGAUUUGAAAUCCUGUUCUUCAGCAUCUGAAUCUGAAUUGCAUAUUCCAUCAGUGCCAACUAUGCCAAGUAAAAAUUCUGGCAAUGGAAAUGGUUCGAAUGGAAAGAGGUCUAACGGCAGUCGCAGUCGUUCCAGUGGUUCUGAACAAUCUGUGCAGACAGGAACUGGCUCAGGAAAUCAACAGAACCAACAAGACUUAUCUGGAUUGUCUACGACAAUGGGGCAGCUAUUUCUUUAAAAUCGAGAGGAUAUUAUUUCGAAAUGUUAAAAGGUUCACUAAUUAUUGCUUUGCAAACACAUUCUUUAAGACUAAUCCGCUUUAAAUAAAAAGAAGGAGGAAAAACGGAAAAAAGUAUCUAUAUGCAUGUACAAAGAAAAUAUGCAAUACAAUUGUUAUUGUAUAUUGGGCAAUUAUUGGUGAAUCAUUUAAAUUGAGAUUGUCCAUGCGUAAAGGACAAAUUUUCAUUGUAUUCCUAUUGAUUCCAGUUAUUUGGUGAUGAACAAAAAGAAAUUGUUUAAAAUUAUGUUGUGUGGUAUUGCAUCACAAAGUUCGACAAUAUGUAAAUAGAUCGAAUUAUGCUCAUAUUAAAUGUGCCAUCUUAUCAGUGUUAGAAAGUACUGAAAAAGGAACUGCGACAUAUAAUUUAUAUAUACAAGCUUCCCAGGUGUAUGCAUUUCUUUACUGUUUAUGUUCAUUGAUGUCAUCUUAUCUAAUGAAUUAUUACGAAUUCUUACGAAUUAUCUUCUGCAUCUCACACGCACACACACACACACACACACACACAUACAAGCUUAUUUAAUUUCAACAAACGUUCAUUACAUUUAAUUGCGUCUUGCCGUUGCGUUAUUAUGAUAUAAAUUUUUAUUUAGCAUAUCACGUUGUAUUUAAAUAACGUUCUUUUUAUAAAAUGCCGCUAGAAAAUACUUGCAUUCGAUGCACAUAAAUGCAUUGGCGUCGUAACACUAUAAGAGUAAUUUCAAAUAUGGUGUGAUGUUUCUUCCUACCAAACAUUUCACGUUAAAAUGAAAAAAAAAAAAAUUAGUAGCGAUUUUUACGUUUCUUUUUCUAUCGAUUUUACUACUUUUUAUAUUUACACGAAGUAUUUACAUUGCUUCCUUAAUAUUUAUAAAACGUAUAUCAUAGAAAAUACUACCUACGUCUUUUUAUAUAACAUGCAACCAUGUUUGAAAAUUUCGUUGUCUAAUCGUGCAAUUUUCCAAAAUAACUGACUGAAACCACAUUUUAUUUCCCCCUUUUCUUCGGCAUCUUAUAAUUAUCGAUAAAUAGGCACUUUUUUAUACUGUCCCCCGUAGAGAAUAAUAUAACGGUAUUAUAAGAAAUUUUUUACCGAUUUGAUAAGCACAUAGUGCAUAGAUCGUAUAGGAAAGAUUUUGUUGGAAAAUUGCGCACUGGCAUUUAAUCGUUAAUUUCAAUGGAAAUGUUUUCAUUUCGCUGCAAAUGAUUAUGUAAUUCGAUAUUUAAGAAGGUAGUUUACACGAACUGGUUUAUCGAUAUCAUUAUGGUACCAAUCAUUAUAUAUUAUUCUGUAAAAUAUAUACAUAUUUUAUGUUGCAGACAGGUUGUACAGUAUGUUUGAGAAAGGCAAAAUGUGUAUUUACAAUGUAUUGUUUCAAAUUAAUAUUUACCAUAUUAAUAUUUACAAACCAAGAUCCAUUUAUUAUUUGAAUAAAAAAUGACAUCAAGGAUGAAAAAGAAUGAAAAUACAAAUUUUGCGACUCACAGACAUACUCCAAACUUGGUUUAUUUUAUUUUCUAUUUAUUGCGCCGCUCUAAAAGGACGUGCUGCUUUCUGUCUAACAAACGACUCAAUUCCCCUUUGCAACUUACGUUGUGCGCAUGUGGAUUACAUCAUGUCAAAGACGUAAUCGAGUCAUUUUUGUGCCUUGUGCUGCGCUGACGAUUGAUGCAGAGCGGCGUAUGCACGAGGAAACUCGUACACUGACUAGCGGUUUGGACAACAAUAGCAGAGACAAUAUCUAUGAAGAAGACAUUUUGGAGUACCAGUUUCUGCACAAGUGAAGAUAUUUGUUAAUGCAAUACGUAUACGUAAUGGUGGUACUAUAGGAGUUGAAAAAAGGAAAUUAAGGUAUAUUUCCACUUGACCUUGAAUUGGGUGGACGGAAGUAGCAAACAUGAGACAUAUAUAUAUUUAUACAUAUAUAUAUAUAUAUAUAUAUAUAUAUAACAGACGAAUUUUGAUUAAGCGUCAUAGAAAAUAAAGAAUCUAAACUAUAUAUAAUUUGUAAUGGCUAUACAUAAAAGAAGGAAAUAGGAUUAAGGCCAUCAAAUUUCCAUGUGGUAUUUAAUAUCAUUCGAAAACGUGAUCUAUAUAGGUUUCGGCAGGAAAAUAAGAAAUGAUGGCGAAAAAGCGUGCUUUUUUAACGCAGGGUGUAUGUAGAUUGAGAAAAAAGAAUUCUCGUUAAUAACAUAUAUGUGUUUUAUCGAUACUUCUUGUUCUACCUUUGUUUUUUUAUUUUAAAAUAAUCGCGAUAAUUAUGUAUCAUUUUCGAUUGUAUAUAUUUUCACACAGUUUGUCAGUUUAAACAAUAAUGGAUAUUUUCAGUUGGGCUUAAAGUUUUUCAUUGUUGAUCUUAAAAGUUUUUGAAAGUAAAAAAAUUCUUUUUUUUUCAACUGUUUCAUUUGUUACUUUUUUCAAAUAUUAAUUAUCAUGUUAUAAUAUGGCUGUAUUUUUAAUUAUACGGGUAUAUGAACAUCAAAUUUACGAAAUGCAAAAUGGAAACUAAGAUUUUGGUACUGAGGAUGGAACUGAGGUAAAGGAGCAAAAAGUGUCAGUAUAAUACGAGAUGAUAUUCGCAAAAUUCCUGAUUUAUUAGUACAACUUAUGACUGCAAAUACGUCUGUAAUGAAGUGUUAAUUCAUGCUAUGAAAAUUAAUUAGUAUGAAGCAUAUUAUACAAUUGUUGUAAGUAUUAUCGUUUCACCUGAAUUUUACGCUUAAAUGAAAAAGAAAAAUUGAAACUUUUGUAACUAUAAAUAACACAGAACACUUUUUAUCGAUCUUUAUAUGAAAAUAUUCUAUUGGAGUUUUCGCGUUAAUUCAAUCAAGCAGCUAUAGAAUAUUUAAAACGUAAGUGAUAAUAAUUUCACCAUUAUUCUUCUAGUUUAAACAAACACCAUGCGUCGUUGAAUUUUCUUUAUACUAAAUAACUGAGAACUCGAUGUAUGUACGAUUUUAUUUUUCCAUACUACUUUAACCGAUUACUCGUUAAGGGAAGGCAAUACGUAAAUAAAUUGUAAAGAUAGGAUUAUAAUAAUUGGUGAAACACUUUCUCCCCCGAUUCUGUGUGUAAGUUUAUACGAGUAAGUGUGAUGAUACUGCAUUGUCAUGUGCAUGCACGAGUCUCCUCCCUCACUAUUAGAAUUACGAAUAAAAAUGGAAAAAGGAAGAAUGGAAAAAUAUGAAGUAAACCUCGACGAGUCAAUAUGAAUCGAAUGAAAGUUUACUCAUUGAGACGCAUUCGAACGCUAUUCCGACUGAAGUAUUUUAACGUCAUUUAGAGUACCAUAGUACAAGGCGACAAGAUAGUCAAUCGAUAUCGCAUUUACAGACAGAUAGUUCAUUCCUUGUAUUUUUUAUCCCUUUGCGAGACAAAUGUUUGCGGACUUUUUUAUCAAGGCUACGACCGCGUACACGGUGUCGUCGAUACUCUAUUUGCGAUGUUCAACGAUUUUUACACUAUUUAUUAUAUAUUAUGCGAGACUAAGAGAUUUGUAAAAAGAAGAAAAGAAAGAGAAAACGCGAAGCUGAAGAAAAGAAAGAGUAAGAAAGAAAAUGGCGCAUUCGUUAGACCGAUAAAAUAAACGACUUCUUCAAUGUGUGUGUUUCGUGGAAACAUUGCGAGAUGAUAUGACAGAUUAUGUAUGUCGAGACGAUCUUCUCUACCGCCUUUUUUCUGUCGCGAAACUGACUGCGAAAAAGAAAGGAAACCAAAAUGUAAUGCGAACAAGUUUAUAUCCAUAGUAUACACGAUUACGUGGAUGUAACGAAUGAUCACAAUGGCUCAGAUUAUUCCGCAAGAUCAGAUAAAGAUCUACAGGAAGCGUAAGCUAAAAUAGAACGACGAAAGAAUUCAAUACAUGUAGUAGUGUGUGGAUAUACAGGGAAAUAGAUUGUAAAGAUUUUUAUGACUGUCUGAAA